UGGGGAAUUUUCCGCAAUGGGCGAAAGCCUGACGGAGCAAGACCGCGUGGGGGAGGAAAGCUCUAGGGUUGUAAACCCCUUUUCUUUGGGAAGAAGUACUGACGGUACCAAAGGAAUCAGCCUCGGCUAACUCCGUGCCAGCAGCCGCGGUAAUACGGAGGAGGCAAGCGUUAUCCGGAAUGAUUGGGCGUAAAGCGUCCGCAGGUGGCCAUGUAAGUCUGCUGUCAAAACCCAGGGCUUAACUCUGGUCAGGCAGUGGAAACUACAAAGCUAGAGUUCGGUAGGGGCAAAGGGAAUUCCCGGUGUAGCGGUGAAAUGCGUAGAUAUCGGGAAGAACAUCGGUGGCGAAAGCGCUUUGCUAGACCAAAACUGACACUCAGGGACGAAAGCUAGGGGAGCGAAUGGG
rnacentral:rRNA from 1 species